rnacentral:lncRNA from 1 species
CUCCACCUGAGUUCCUUCGGCAAGCUCCUGCCCCACAGCUGCCCCUUUAAUAUCAGGGUCCCCUCGGCUCGGGCCCAGAUCCGCACUUUGAGCCGCCUCACCCUCCCGCCCGCCCAGGUCUCCUCAGGCCUCCUCCCAGCCCCGCCUCUCUCCGGGGCUCUGGGCCCACUGUCCAGCCGCCUUCCUGGGCUUUCCCCAGGACUCUCCCCCGCCUGGCAUCCUGGAGUCCACACACCCUUGCUGCCUGGAAGUGGCCCUCCACCUGGCUCCCCUGCUCAGGACUAGCUGCUCCCUCCUCUUAGUGACUGUUGACUUUCACCUGCCCCUUCUUCCCAGUGCCCGAGAGCUCCAGGGGCAGAGGCCGGGGCUCAGUCAUCCUCGAGCCCCAGCGCGGCUCAGGCUCGGCCUUGACACUGAACAGGCGCCAGCGCGUGCUGGGACAGGACUCGGGCCUGGAUUCUGCAGGUGUGCUGGAGCAGCCCACGCCUUCCCCAGCCCCUGCCCGAGGCUAGCACCUCAGCUCAGGCCUCCACCAGGUCAGGCCUGGAGUGGGGCCUCACCCUCGCUCCCUGUGCCCCUGCCAGCUCUGGGAGAGGCUGAGAAGGGGGGCGGGGAUGAAGGCGGGGAUCCCAGGAGGAGCCAGGAGCCCAGCCCCUGUGGUGACCCAGGCCUCAGAUGCCCCGGGGCCACAGUCCCUGGAUGACCCAGAAGCUGGCAGGGAGGCCCCUCCCACGACCCGAACUUGCACCAGGUUUCCAGCUGCUUGUGGUCUGCGCUUAACUUUCCCACCACUGCUACCUCCCAAUAAUUAAAAAUAUUUAAUCAUUCAAUAGUCCAAUUGGCUCCCUGGGCUUGGCUUUUCUCUCCUGGAGGCACUGGCAUCUGCGUGUCCAGGUACUUGGGGCAGGGCUGUUGAUUGGAUUCAACUCAGCAAACACUAGUGGAGCGUUCUGUGUGUCCACAAGGUAAAAUGACCCCAGGGAAGUACAUAGCAGGCAAAGGGCCAGCCCGGGCAGUCUCCCUUCUAGGCUGUGCCUUGGGCUAGGGCAAGAAGAAGGAACCUAUCGCUAGCCUGGCCUCACUACCUGCUGGACACCGGAACUCCAGGCCCAGAGAGGGUGAGUAACUUUGCCAAGGUCACAGAGCUCACCUCUAGAGGGCUGGUUGAGGCCUUGGGAAUUGAUGGAACAUUUACUGAGUUUCUGGUGGAUGCACAUUGAUUAAUAAAGUAUACACAGCUCCUGCCCUCAUGAAGUCCACAGUGGGAGGUAGUCAGUGAACCAGAGAACAAGCCUACAGUUCCAGAAUUCGAGGG